AUCGGAACGUGCCCAGUAAUGGGGGAUAGCCCGGCGAAAGCCGGAUUAAUACCGCAUACGACCUACGGGUGAAAGCGGGGGAUCGCAAGACCUCGCGUUAUUGGAGCGGCCGAUAUCAGAUUAGCUUGUUGGCGGGGUAAAAGCCCACCAAGGCGACGAUCUGUAGCUGGUCUGAGAGGACGACCAGCCACACUGGGACUGAGACACGGCCCAGACUCCUACGGGAGGCAGCAGUGGGGAAUUUUGGACAAUGGGCGCAAGCCUGAUCCAGCCAUGCCGCGUGAGUGAAGAAGGCCUUCGGGUUGUAAAGCUCUUUCGGCAGGAACGAAAUGGUCCGUGCUAAUACCACGGACUAAUGACGGUACCUGAAGAAGAAGCACCGGC
rnacentral:rRNA from 1 species